AUUGAACGCUGGCGGCAGGCCUAACACAUGCAAGUCGAGCGGAUGAAGGGAGCUUGCUCCUGGAUUCAGCGGCGGACGGGUGAGUAAUGCCUAGGAAUCUGCCUGGUAGUGGGGGAUAACGUCCGGAAACGGGCGCUAAUACCGCAUACGUCCUGAGGGAGAAAGUGGGGGAUCUUCGGACCUCACGCUAUCAGAUGAGCCUAGGUCGGAUUAGCUAGUUGGUGGGGUAAAGGCCUACCAAGGCGACGAUCCGUAACUGGUCUGAGAGGAUGAUCAGUCACACUGGAACUGAGACACGGUCCAGACUCCUACGGGAGGCAGGAGUGGGGAAUAUUGGACAAUGGGCGAAAGCCUGAUCCAGGCAUGCCGCGUGUGUGAAGAAGGUCUUCGGAUUGGAAAGCACUUUAAGUUGGGAGGAAGGGCAGUAAGUUAAUACCUUGCUGUUUUGACGUUACCAACAGAAUAAGCACCGGCUAACUUCGUG
rnacentral:rRNA from 1 species